rnacentral:tRNA from 1 species
GGAAGCAGAUAGGGUCUGGUGGCCCUCUCGGUCUUCAAAACCGAUGUGAGCUGAGAAAGCUCUGGCAGGUUCGAUUCCUGCCUCUUCCGCCA